UACGGAGGAUCCAAGCGUUAUCCGGAUUUAUUGGGUUUAAAGGGUGCGUAGGCGGGUUGGUAAGUCCGUGGUGAAAUCCCCAAGCUUAACUUGGGAACUGCCGUGGAUACUAUCAAUCUUGAAUAUCGUGGAGGUAAGCGGAAUAUGUCAUGUAGCGGUGAAAUGCUUAGAUAUGACAUAGAACACCAAUUGCGUAGGCAGCUUACUACACGAUCAUUGACGCUGAGGCACGAAAGCGUGGGGAGCAAACAGG
rnacentral:rRNA from 1 species